rnacentral:rRNA from 1 species
GCAAAAAUUAACCUCGCCUGUUUACCAAAAACAUCGCCUCUUGAGUAUACUUAUAAGAGGUCCAGCCUGCCCAGUGACUCUGUUCAACGGCCGCGGUAUCCUAACCGUGCGAAGGUAGCGUAAUCACUUGUUCUUUAAAUAAGGACUAGUAUGAAUGGCACCACGAAGGUUACACUGUCUCCUUUCUCUAAUCAGUGAAACUAAUCUCCCCGUGAAGAAGCGGGGAUUUAAGUAUAAGACGAGAAGACCCUAUGGAGCUUUAAACUAAAUAACACUUGCUCUUAUAUUACUAUAUUUGAGAAUACUAACACCUAUUUUAGCUUUAUGAUUUUUAGUUUUAGGUUGGGGUGACCGCGGAGCAAAACAAAACCUCCACAUUGAAUGGGGUUUCACACCCUGAGCAACGAGCUACAACUCUACGCACCAAUAAAUUGACAUAAAUUGACCCAAUAUUUUGAUCAACGAACCAAGUUACCCUAGGGAUAACAGCGCAAUCCGCUUCAAGAGCUCCUAUCGACAAGCGGGUUUACGACCUCGAUGUUGGAUCAGGGUAUCCCAGUGGUGUAGCCGCUACUAAAGGUUCGUUUGUUCAACGAUCAAAACCCUACGUGAU